CUGCGGUUUUGCGGUGAGUUUCUUCGUUUACACCGAAGAUGUCGGGAGUUCGAGUCUCUCAUCGCCCACCA
rnacentral:tRNA from 1 species